rnacentral:sRNA from 1 species
CCAGUCCCCGCCCGCAGCUCCGGUCCAGAGCGGGCCACCGGGCCCCGAUGUACCCAGGGAAGGGCGAGUCUUAAAGGAGACGCUUCCAGCUGGUGGCUGGACCGUGGGAAUCUGGGAGAAUCCCUCCCUCAACACGCCAGAAAGAGAUUGAGAGCGAGAAGGGGUGUGUGUGAAGUUCAGAGAAAAAAA